rnacentral:rRNA from 1 species
CUCAGGACGAACGCUGGCGGCGUGCUUAACACAUGCAAGUCGAACGGAAAGGCCUCUGCUUGCAGGGGUGCUCGAGUGGCGAACGGGUGAGUAACACGUGGGUGAUCUGCCUUGUACUCUGGGAUAAGCUUGGGAAACUGGGUCUAAUACCGGAUAGGAACUGCCUUUAGUGUGGUGGUUGGAAAGUUUUCGGUGCAAGAUGAGCUCGCGGCCUAUCAGCUUGUUGGUGGGGUAAUGGCCUACCAAGGCGUCGACGGGUAGCCGGCCUGAGAGGGUGUACGGCCACAUUGGGACUGAGAUACGGCCCAGACUCCUACGGGAGGCAGCAGUGGGGAAUAUUGCACAAUGGGCGGAAGCCUGAUGCAGCGACGCCGCGUGGGGGAUGACGGCCUUCGGGUUGUAAACUCCUUUCGACAGGGACGAAGCUUUUUGUGACGGUACCUGUAUAAGAAGCACCGGCUAACUACGUGCCAGCAGCCGCGGUAAUACGUAGGGUGCGAGCGUUGUCCGGAAUUACUGGGCGUAAAGAGCUCGUAGGUGGUUUGUCGCGUCGUCUGUGAAAUUCCGGGGCUUAACUCCGGGCGUGCAGGCGAUACGGGCAUAACUUGAGUGCUGUAGGGGAGACUGGAAUUCCUGGUGUAGCGGUGAAAUGCGCAGAUAUCAGGAGGAACACCGAUGGCGAAGGCAGGUCUCUGGGCAGUUACUGACGCUGAGGAGCGAAAGCAUGGGUAGCGAACAGGAUUAGAUACCCUGGUAGUCCAUGCCGUAAACGGUGGGCGCUAGGUGUAGGGGGCUUCCACGUCUUCUGUGCCGUAGCUAACGCAUUAAGCGCCCCGCCUGGGGAGUACGGCCGCAAGGCUAAAACUCAAAGGAAUUGACGGGGGCCCGCACAAGCGGCGGAGCAUGUGGAUUAAUUCGAUGCAACGCGAAAAACCUUACCUGGGCUUGACAUACACCAGAUCGCUGCAGAGAUGUAGUUUCCUUUGUGGUUGGUGUACAGGUGGUGCAUGGUUGUCGUCACCUCGUGUCGUGAAAUGUUGGGUUAAGUCCCGCAACGAGCGCAACCCUUUGUCUUAUGUUGCCAGCAUUUUGGUUGGGGGACUCAU